CUUUUGGUAUCCAAACUUUGUAGGAAAUCCAAUCAAAUGAAAUGGAGAUUGUGGUAGAUAUAUGAGGUCACGUUGACUUGUUUAUCGGGCCUGCUUGUUUAACCCAUGAUAGGAAAACAAUUGAUGUUAUAGCAGCCAUAACGCAAACACAUGUGCAAAUCCCCAAUAGGAACAGUGAUUCAGCAAAAUUUAAUUGUUGAUCCUGCCUGUUAUUUCCUGCUUAGAGUGGAUAAGGGAGCAGAACGUUGAAUCAAAGCAUUUGGAACACUUGUCAGAUCUACUUACAAAACAUACAAGGUAUAGUUCACAUAUUGCUACUAACUACAAGGAAGAAGAUACCUUAACCCAAAUCCAACUGACACCAUGAAGACCAAUGUGCUUACUGGGAAACUGACCUUUGUGUCUCAAAAGCCGUGUGAUUUGUCUCGAUGCACUAAAAGUGAGAUAAGAGCCUACUUUGAAAACAGCUAUGACCUGAAUGAGAGCCUUUUCACAUCACUUAAAGAUGAUUCAGUGUUUUACCUCUGCCCAGAUAGACUCCGCCUUCCCCUGGUCUUCUACUUCGCCCAUACAGCAGUGGUUUAUGUGAAUAAACUAAAAUUAGCUGGACUGAUUAAAGAGCGGGUCAACUUUGACUUUGAGACUUUGUUUGAGACUGGAGUUGAUGAGAUGGCAUGGGAUGAUACGGAGAACUAUCGUAUGGGAGGGAGCUAUAAAUGGCCUUCUAUAGCUGAGGUGGUAGAUUAUCGUCGCAGGGUCCGUCACAUCAUUCUAGAUGUUAUUAACCAUACCCCGCUUACACUGCCUGUUACCAUGGAGAGCCCCUGGUGGGCUCUUUUUAUGGGAAUGGAACAUGAGCGUAUUCACAUUGAAACAUCAUCUGUUUUGAUUCGCCAAAUGCCUGUUGACAAGGUAACCAAGCCAGAUGAAUGGCAGUAUGGACCAAUCACCUAUGGUGAAGGUAUGCAUAAAAAUCCCCUGCUCCACAUUGACACGCAGAACAUUACAAUUGGGAAACCACGUGACUUUGGUUCAUUUGGUUGGGACAAUGAAUAUGGCACACUGACCACAAAAGUGUCAGCAUUUAAAGUCUGUAAGUAUAUGAUCACAAACCGUGAGUUUCUAGCAUUCGUGCAUGCAGGUGGUUACAAGCAAGAGGAGUAUUGGAGUGCUGAGGCUUGGAAGUGGUUACAAUAUCGCAAGGCCAAGCACCCUACUUUCUGGGUCUGUGACCAGGGUUGCAUCUCUGGAUGUGGCGGUAUCAUAGCUGGGUAUGUUCAUUGUAAGCCAGCUCAGGCAGAGCAGCACAAUGGCGUGAGUGGCUACUGCAAUGGUCACAUGGCGGUGGAUGGCAAUGGUCACCAAGGCAGUGAUGAGGGAGGUGGUCAUAAUCACCAUGGAAACCAUCAUCAUCAGGGUCAACAGCAAAAUGGAGAUAAUCAUAAUGUGAGCAAUGGAGCCCAUACAGAAACCAAUGGAUCCACUGCUGAGUACAAAUACCGAACAAUGUUUGAUGAAAUUGAUCUGCCGCUUGAUUGGCCAGUAGAUGUGAACUACCAUGAGGCAAAGGCUUAUUGUGCGUGGAAGGGUGAGGGGUUCAGGCUGCCUGGGGAGGCAGAGCAUCAGGCCAUGAAGGGAACACUGAAAUCGGUCACAGAGGGCACUGAGAGUGACAUCAUAUACCAGGACAAGAUUGAAGCCAAUCUUAACUUACAGUACGGAUCUUCUACACCCGUGAACAUGUACCCUCCCAAUGAGCUAGGACUGUGUGAUGUGUCUGGCAAUGUGUGGGAGUGGAUGGAGGACCACUUCAAUGGUCUGCCAGGCUACCAAUCAUCAUUUCUUUAUGAUGAUUUCUCAUCUCCAUGCUUUGAUGGUCGCCAUAAUAUGAUUUUGGGGGGAUCAUGGAUAUCAACAGGGGAUGAGGCAUCAAGAUUUGCCAGAUUUGCUUUCCGUCGACAUUUCUUUCAACAUGCUGGCUUUAGAAUGGUGAAGACUGAGCCAUUGAAUGCUGAGAGGGUAGAGGUGCCUAUAAGGCUAGUGGACACAGAGGUCUACAUACUCGGGGCUGAUGUCCCAGACAAUCCGGUUCUUCUCGAUGAAGAGAGUUUUAAAGUUGACAAGGUUCCUUCAACUUGUUCUCAACUACACUGGGAAGAUUAUGAUAUUUUGGCUAAGAGGUUCAAGGAAGAGUACGAAACUAAUGCUACAUAUUAUACUGAGCUAGCAGGCUUAUGCAGGGAUGUUUCAGCAUUACAUUCCAACAAUAAAAGAUUGCUCACCAUUGGAUGCGGAGUUGGGAAAAUUGCUUUUGAGAUGGCUGGUGACUAUCAACAGAUGUUGGCCAUAGAUUUUGUGGCAAGAUUUGUCGAGACAGCUUUGAACCUGCAGAAGACAGGACAACUGGCAAUAGAGGGCGCUACGGCACAACUGAAGCAGUUGGAUUACACCAAUAUUAUAUUCAAGCAGUUGACAUGGCUACCAAAUGAAGUGGACUUCUUCGACUUUGUUUUGAUGAAUGACGUUGAUCGUCUUAUGAAUCCACACGCAUGGUUUAUAAGAUUUGGAGAAAUUCUCCAAAAGGAUGGCAUUCUUGUUGCAGUGUCCAGCAAGUUCACGGUUGACAAAAUAGAAGAGAUGCUAAGACACUGUUUUACACUACUUGAGACCAAAAGUCUGCGUAACAGGGCCGACUCCAAGGGCUACUCUUUAGUUAGUAUCUGGAAACAUGUCUAAAUGAAACAUCUCCAAGCAUAAACUUUAUAUACACAAUAUUAGAGGAUCUAAUGGACAUAGAUCAUUCUUUUGUGAGUGUGUCAUUUUUGAUCUACGACGGAAUUCAAUAUCAUUGAUGGAAGAAAUGUUCAUGGCCCUAUGUUCCGGUGUAUGAAAUGUCCACAUAAUUUUUCAUUGAUUUAUAGCUUAUGGUCGUGUAACUUUGUUUUUGAAAUAUUGUGGUAAAAUCAAAGUAUAUUGUAGUCUUGACAACAUUAUAUUAAAGUCAAUUGUCUAAAUUAAUCACAAUGUUGGGACAAGACAAAUAACUGGUCCCAAUCAAAAAUUGUGCAGUUUUUUAUUGAGUGUUUCAGAAUAUGUGGAGAAUAUUUCCAACAUUGAUAAGUAAUUUAACAGUUUCAAUAAACUAUCGACAUGCAUGUAGUAUAGGGAAAUAACAGCUAGGAUUCAGCAUGAAUUAUGUAACAAUUUAUUUUGAACUAUUUUCUUACUUUCUUACAUCUCAAUUCUGCAGUAUAUGUUUAUAAGCAGUAUUUUAUAAGCAAGGAUAGCAGAGAUUUUUCUCUACUAAUGCUAAUUAAUUAUACACUUUAAAAGGGCAACAGCAUAUAGAAAGACAGAAUAGCACCACCAAUUUUAGAGUGUUCAUCAUAUAUUUGUGUGCUAUAAGCAGUUUUGUUCCAUAUGUUGUGAAAUAUG
rnacentral:misc_RNA from 1 species